rnacentral:ncRNA from 3 species
GUGGAACCUGCGGAAGGAUCAUUA